GACGAACGCUGGCGGCGUGCCUAAUACAUGCAAGUCGAACGCAGUGGGGACGGGUGAGUAACACGUGGGUAACCUCCCCUCAGACGGGAUAACACUUGGAAACAGGUGCUAAACCGAUACUGAUUGAUGGACCCGCGGUGCAUUAGCUAGUUGGUGAGGUAACGGCUCACCAAGGCCACGAUGCAUACCCGACCUGAGAGGGUGAUCGGCCACACUGGGACUGAGACACGGCCCAGACUCCUACGGGAGGCAGCAGUAGGGAAUAUUCGGCAAUGGACGAAAGGCUGACCGAGCAACGCCGCGUGAGUGAAGAAGGUUUUCGGAUCGUAAAGCUCUGUUGGUAGAGAAGCGGUAUCUAACCAGAAAGCCACGGCUAACUACGUGCCAGCCGCCGCGGUAAUAC
rnacentral:rRNA from 1 species